AACCCACGCAUAGGACAUUUCUUAAACAAAUCUUUGAACCUUUCCUAUGCUUUAUACAAUGUUUCAUCCUCUAGUUGCUUGAAGGAUGUUAUGUCAUUUCUUAGUUU
rfam:Gossypium raimondii chromosome 11, whole genome shotgun sequence.